rnacentral:rRNA from 1 species
UACCAGCACCCCGAGUGGUCGGGACGAUUAUUGGGCCUAAAGCAUCCGUAGCCGGUUUACAAGUCCUCCGUUAAAUCCAGCUGCUUAACAGAUGGGCUGCGGAGGAUACUAUAAGACUAGGAGGCAGGAGAGGCAAGCGGUACUCAGUGGGUAGGGGUAAAAUCCGUUGAUCCAUUGAAGACCACCAGUGGCGAAGGCGGCUUGCCAGAAUGCGCUCG